AGACGGAGGGUCCUAGCGUUGUUCGGAAUAACUGGGCGUAAAGGGUACGUAGGCGGUUUGGUCAGUUAGAUGUGAAAGCCCAGGGCUCAACCUUGGAACUGCAUUUAAUACUGCCAGACUUGAGAUCGGAAGAGGAAAGCGGAAUUCCUAGUGUAGAGGUGAAAUUUGUAGAUAUUAGGAGGAACAUCAGAGGCGAAGGCGGCUUUCUGGUCCGAUACUGACGCUGAGGUACGAAAGCGUGGGGAGCAAACAGGAUUAGAAACCCCAGUAGUCC
rnacentral:rRNA from 1 species